GACGAACGCUGGCGGCGUGCUUAACACAUGCAAGUCGAACGGAAAGGCCCUGCUCUUGUGGGUUGCUCGAGUGGCGAACGGGUGAGUAACACGUGAGGAACCUGCCCUUGAAUUUGGGAUAACUUCAGGAGACUCGGGCUAAUACCGGAGAGGAGCUCCUGCUGCACGGGGUGGGUUGGAAAGUUUCGGCGGUUGGGGAUGGACUCGCGGGUUAUCAGCUUGUUUGUGGGGUAGUGGCUUUCCAAGGCUUAGACGGGUAGCAGGCCUGAGAGGGUGGCCAGCGACAUUGGGACUGAGGUAGGGCCCAGACUCCUACGGGCGGCAGCGGUGGGGAAUAUUGCACAGUGAGCCGAAGCGUGAGGCAGAAACGCCGGGUGCGGGAUGACGGCCUUCGGGUUGUAAACCGCUUUCGCAUGUGCCGAAGCGUGAGUGACGGUAAUGAGUAAAGAAGCAACGGCUAACUACGUG
rnacentral:rRNA from 1 species